AUUAAAACCAACUAGGAGAAUUUCCCCCGUGUUUGUAUUGCCGCUUGCUUGAAUACGAAGAUAAUCUCUCUUUCUCUCUCUGUACGAAGAUAAUCUCUCUUUCUCUCUCUCUGUUACUUGUUAAUCACAACAAUGUCAGCUCCGUUGAGAACAAUGGUUCCCCAAAUUAGGCGUUUAGGUUCGAAGUUCAUUUCAGCAAGGAAUUUCUCCUCCGAGGCUGGAGGAGAACACCAGAAGGUUUCUGAAAACCUUUAUAAGAAGGCAGGUGUAAAAAUUGCGGAAUUUGCAGCUGGUGGAUUUGUGGGAGUGACUUUAAAUACUUGGGCGCAGUACAUAGCCACUGGCAGAGCAACAACCAGCGUCUUGGGAUUUACGAUUGGCAAAUAAGCCUGAGGGAUGGUGAUCUUAGGUUUUUAUUGAUGCUCUAUGUAUCUCUUAAGUAAGAUUCCUUUAAAAAUUGCCCUAUGUUUUCUCUUUCUGUCAAGAAGAAACCUAACUUUUGUGUUGUUUGAAUGAAUCUAUCAUCUAUCUGUGUAAUUAACAUCUGAUUCUGGCUCUUUGAAUGAAUCUGUUGCCUACUUAUGAGAUCUUAUUAGUCU